CUUAAGUAUUAUAUAAUUCAAUGUAUUAAUUCAUUCUAUAUUAAUAAUUUUUAUACUCUUUUGUUUUAUAGGUUGAUCCUACACGAAAAACAAAUAUUUUUAUUUCUGAACCGAGUCUGUCCUCCAUAGUUGUUUCUGAUACCAUUCCGAAAUAUAAAGUUGAUGUUGGUCAAAUUGUUUUGCCGAUAAAGAGGAAGGCCACUCAGAAAUGUAAAGCAGUUAUGUUGGUGUCCGAUGAGUCUCUUAUCGCUCAUCGUACACGUUCAAAGUUUAGAAACAAAA